CGCUAUCGCAGCCUUCGGCAGCUCCUACAGGGGAAAUGUGUACACCUGUAGGAGCUGCCGAAGGCUGCGAUCUUU
rnacentral:antisense_RNA from 1 species